UGGUGGAGCGAUUUGUCUGGUUAAUUCCGAUAACGAACGAGACUCAAGCCUGCUAAACAGUGUGGAACGUGGGCGUCGUCCCUACGCUGAAGGACCUUGAGCGCUUCCGGGAAGACUUCAGGGACAGGCGUAAACUACUAUGUUACUAUGUAAUGUAAUGUAGUUGGAUCGUCGCGGGCAAAACUUCUUAGAGGGACCGGUGGUUUUAAGCCACACGAGAUUGAGCAAUAACA
rnacentral:rRNA from 1 species